rnacentral:piRNA from 1 species
UACACACUGACGCAACUGUGAUCCCAA